CAGGAUGAACGCUGGCGGCGUGCCUAACACAUGCAAGUCGAGCGAUUUACUUCGGUAAAGAGCGGCGGACGGGUGAGUAACGCGUGGGUAACCUGCCCUGUACACACGGAUAACAUACCGAAAGGUAUGCUAAUACGAGAUAAUAUGCUUUUAUCGCAUGGUAGAAGUAUCAAAGCUCCGGCGGUACAGGAUGGACCCGCGUCUGAUUAGCUAGUUGGUAAGGUAACGGCUUACCAAGGCGACGAUCAGUAGCCGACCUGAGAGGGUGAUCGGCCACAUUGGAACUGAGACACGGUCCAAACUCCUACGGGAGGCAGCAGUGGGGAAUAUUGCACAAUGGGCGAAAGCCUGAUGCAGCAACGCCGCGUGAGCGAUGAAGGCCUUCGGGUCGUAAAGCUCUGUCCUCAAGGAAGAUAAUGACGGUACUUGAGGAGGAAGCCCCGGCUAACUACGUGCCAGCAGCCGCGGUAAUACGUAGGGGGCUAGCGUUAUCCGGAAUUACUGGGCGUAAAGGGUGCGUAGGUGGUUUCUUAAGUCAGAGGUGAAAGGCUACGGCUCAACCGUAGUAAGCCUUUGAAACUGGGAAACUUGAGUGCAGGAGAGGAGAGUGGAAUUCCUAGUGUAGCGGUGAAAUGCGUAGAUAUUAGGAGGAACACCAGUUGCGAAGGCGGCUCUCUGGACUGUAACUGACACUGAGGCACGAAAGCGUGGGAAGCAAACAGGAUUAGAUACCCUGGUAGUCCACGCCGUAAACGAUGAGUACUAGCUGUCGGAGGUUACCCCCUUCGGUGGCGCAGCUAACGCAUUAAGUACUCCGCCUGGGAAGUACGCUCGCAAGAGUGAAACUCAAAGGAAUUGACGGAAGG
rnacentral:rRNA from 1 species